AUUAAUUCAAUUGUGGUCAUUUUUAUUAAUAUAAAACAAUUAUAAUUUUUAAUUGCACUCCCUAUUUGUUAAUCUAAUCUUAUAACCUAAACCCUUUAAAAUUGGGCCAGCAGCACACAUUUAGUAACCCAACUCAAGCCUAACCAGCCCACUUCAGCUGACCCGGCCGACAUUCUUAUUUUCCCUUCUUCUACGCGUACAACAGCAGCACAGCCUCAUCAAUUAACAUCAGAUGUUAUCAACAACAAUACAACCCUUUACAAUUUCAACCAAAGAACAACAAUUUCAACGACGGCAAUACAACAACAGGCAGUCCGACCCAAUAACCCUCAGCAAACAACGGGUCCAGCCCAUCAAUGACCCGAACCACGACAAAAACCAGUAUAGCAAUAUCAACGACAACAGCGACCCCACACCAACGAAUAAGUCAACAAUAUCAGCUAUUAAUCCGAAUUUUCCUCAAAACCGUUCAAUUUCUUAUGCAUGCAGAUGGGCACGAUUGAUUCAUGUCGAAUUUCAAAUGUUUCAUUCUCAAUUUCUUAUUCGUUUCCCUCCAAAACACUAUUCCGAAAAUCCUCUAUAAAUACCUGUUGAGAGACAGAGGAUUAGAGGAGGAUUCUUUGGGGAAAAAUUGAGGAUUCGGGAGGAGCAUUCCUCUAAUCCUACGUAACAGGAGAAAUUCCUUUCAAACGUUCGAUCCCAACAAAAGUUAAUCUCCGAUGAAUUCGUUUAAACGCCGGUGAAUUGGCAAUGGAUUUCGGCAGUGGUGAAAUUCUUGCAAUUUAAGCUCGCUUGUCCCGGCUAGCUGCCCGGAGAAAGGUAAACACCUCCCCUCUUCUAGUUUUCAUGUGUCAUAGCAAUUUUCUUUAUUAGAGUAUAAAUUUUUGUUAGUAUAGUCAUGGAUGCUGGGAUUAUGUGUUGUAGAAGGUUUUCCAAAAGCCAUAGGUUUUGUGUUUGAUUUCCUGGGUUGAUAUGUGCUGGGAUUCUUUGUUUCGUCUUGAUAAUGUUUCCGUUUAGUGUUAAUCUGUAGUCCUAUCUAGUUUGAAUGAUUGUUUUAUUUUAGUUUGAUUCAUCGUUUUCCUUCUAAUUGGAAUAUCCAUGUGUUGAAAGUCGAGGCCCUAAGGAUGUGUUAAGCAAACUCUUUGAAAUUGCCUCUCUUUUGAAUUAAUUCUUCCAAAGAACAAAAGUCCCUCUUGAAGAUAUUUGAGAAAUUAAUGGUAUGGUUGGGUUUAUUUUUCUGUAAGUCAUGGCCUAAGUUACUUACGAAUUCGUUGUGUUUUAAAACGAAGUCUUCUGUUUUUAUCAUGUCAUCUAAUUUAGUUUCUAUUAGCUGUUGAGAUAAAGCAAUUAGUUUGGGAAAGUCAUGAGGGAUUCGCCUCUUCAAACAUUUUGUUCUAUUUUUAGAAUCAUUUGAUCAUAUAAUUAUUUAAGAUGCAAAAAGAAAGUAGUUACCAUGAUCAUGUUUCUUUUUAGUAUGUGACAAAUAAAAGUUUAUAUGAGUGUACAUACCCUUGGACUUGAGUCUCUCUAUUGUCUUUGUAUGAUUGCAAAAUUCCAAAGCAACUCCAAUCCAUUGCUGAAAUAUUCAAACUUUCUUAACGUUAUGCCACCUAAUAAUUAAAAAAAAAAAAAAAAGGAAAAGGAAAGAGAAACAUAAAACUAAAUACUAGCCAAAUGAGAAAAACUUGCAAACUUAGAGAAUACUAUAUAGUAGUACCUGAUUUCUUGGCAUGGUUGAAAAUCGAAAGCCAUUAUUUUGAAGAGAGUUGAAAUAAAAGCUAUACUUGGUAUAGCUAUAUACAACUUUAUAGUUGGAUACAGAUACUGCUCCAUCCGUUCUAAAAUAAUUGAAUUAUUGGAGUAUUUUUAGUGUUCAAAAUAAUUGAAUUGUUCAUAGAUAGAUAUUGAAUUAUUUUUUUUUCAAUUUUAUCCUACAUUAAUUAAAUUUCCAAGGAUGAGUUCCAACGAUCAUUACUAAUGUUUUAAAGUUUGAAAAGGGCAAAAAAUAAAAAAGUGACCAAUUUAUUAUUAUUAUUAUUAUUUUUUCCUUAAAAUGUAUAUCAUAUUCCAAUAAUUCAAUUAUUUUCGAAACGAAGGAUGAAUGACUGGUUUUGCCCAAAGACGACCCAAAUAAUUUUUUAGUACUUACUAUUUAAUUUUAACAUAUAUAUGUGUGUGUAUGUGUGUUUUCUGGUUGUUUACUCUUCUCUGCAUUCACUGGAAUAUUUCUUCAACAUGUGAGAGUUGGCUUUCCAAUUUUUCUUUUAAUCUUAAUUUAUAUUAAUUUAUAUUGGAGACGAGGACAAUAUAUUUUCUAACUAUUUGGUUGUGUUCUGAUCGUAAAAUUUGCUAAUGAAUAAAAGAAUAGUUGUAUGUUUUACUUGACAUGAGCAUUAGACGUUGCCCUCUUUAGAAAGUUGAAUAUUUGGUAUGAUCAAGCUGAAUAUGUUUUCUUUCUUUCUUCAUUAUUGCAUGUUGUUUGUCUAAAUCGACAUUUGAUAUACUAGUUUGCUCGUCGUAUUAUUAGACACGUACUAAUUCUUAUCUCUUCCUCUCUUUACAUGAACUCUUCCUGAUGAGUCCAAUGGGACUCCUCAUAUCCUUGCAUUUGAACACCGUCGAGUCAAGCCUCAUUAAAGUCCAAAAUUGGACUGAUAUGCACAGGAUAGCACACGCAUACAGGCUGGUAUAGGCUGAGAUACAGCGUGUAUACAUUGAAAGUCGUAGCUGCAUACCAUCAUACAGUGUACAAUGAAAUAUGGAGAGUUAAUAUGUGGAUUUCUACGUUGAUAUACAGUAUAUACGUGGAAAUAUACACAAAAACGCAAGGGUGAAGGGCUUUGAUAUACAGUCAGUAUACAGUUGGUAUACAACUGCACAAAUGGACCAAAAGUCCAUAAAAAAUGGGCCCAAAACCUGGCCAGAUUUGGGAAAAGGCCCAAACUUUAAUUCUUCUUAUUCUUGUAAAUUCUUAUUUGAUUAUGUGCUUGUAUUAAAUUAUCCAAAAUUUACAUAUAUACACAAGGUAACUUUACCUCAUUACAAUAAAUCUCAUAUUGGUAAAAUAAUUACAUAAAUCUCAAAUUAAUUACUCAAAUCUCUUAAUUUUUUAUUUUCUCUCCUUAAUAUUAUACAUCCAAAAAAGGCCGUCUUUUCUUCCCUCGUUUUCUCUUCCAUUACAAAUCAGUUUAUCUUUCAUUAUUCAAUUCUUUUUUUCACGUCUAAAAUCAAGCAAUUAUAAUUAAAGUUUACCAUUGUAAGUUUUCAAACAUUAAUUGAACUUAUAGAUUUCAUUCAUUAUUUUUUUUUUUAACUUCACCAAAUCAGUAAGUCAUGGACUUGUUUGAAAAAAUAAAGGCAAAAAAAAUAGCGAUGAAUUAUCAAAAGCAUUGAAAAAUCUCAAUUGGGUCAUCAUCAUCAUCAGCAGACCACAACGGGGUGAAAUAUGCCAUGGAAAAUGAAUCUUGUGAAUAGAGCAUAACGGUGUUUAUUCAAACGAUUGAAUCAACUAAAUCACUUACUCAAUCUUCUGUAAGAAUCUAAAUCCUAAUUAUUUGAUUAUUUAAUGUUUGUUAAUAUUAUUCUAUUUCUGAAAAAGAAUGAUCUUGCUUCGUUUUAUAUUUUUUAAAUACUCUUUCAAAGAUUCUAUUUUGUAAUAUCAAAUUCUUUCAAGAUUUAACUUUAUGUUUCAAAGAUUCUAUUUUAUAUGUUUCAGUAUUUUGUCUAACUUUUAUGUUUGUUUUUUGUUGAAACAGGCUAGCUUUGUGGUUGCAAAGAUAACUGCAAUUUAUACACCGAGUCUAUUCAAAAGAAUAAGUGAUUUGCUACGAUGGAAAAGAAUUAAUUGUCAUCGCGUCCAAAGAUGUAGAUUUUAUACAUUAUACAUUACUUUAUUUAACACACUUAUGUAAAAUGUUAGUUUUGUAUAUAUAGUAGAGGCU
rnacentral:lncRNA from 1 species